rnacentral:rRNA from 1 species
CUGCCCUGCACUCUGGGACAAGYCCUGGAAACGGGGUCUAAUACCGGAUACAACCACUAGGGGCAUCUCUUGGUGGUGGAAAGCUCCGGCGGUGCAGGAUGAGCCCGCGGCCUAUCAGCUAGUUGGUGAGGUAAUGGCUCACCAAGGCGACGACGGGUAGCCGGCCUGAGAGGGCGACCGGCCACACUGGGACUGAGACACGGCCCAGACUCCUACGGGAGGCAGCAGUGGGGAAUAUUGCACAAUGGGCGAAAGCCUGAUGCAGCGACGCCGCGUGAGGGAUGACGGCCUUCGGGUUGUAAACCUCUUUCAGCAGGGAAGAAGCGAAAGUGACGGUACCUGCAGAAGAAGCGCCGGCUAACUACGUGCCAGCAGCCGCGGUAAUACGUAGGGCGCGAGCGUUGUCCGGAAUUAUUGGGCGUAAAGAGCUCGUAGGCGGCUUGUCACGUCGGUUGUGAAAGCCCGGGGCUUAACCCCGGGUCUGCAGUCGAUACGGGCAGGCUAGAGUUCGGUAGGGGAGAUCGGAAUUCCUGGUGUAGCGGUGAAAUGCGCAGAUAUCAGGAGGAACACCGGUGGCGAAGGCGGAUCUCUGGGCCGAUACUGACGCUGAGGAGCGAAAGCGUGGGGA